UACGUAGGGUGCGAGCGUUAAUCGGAAUUACUGGGCGUAAAGCGUGUGUAGGCGGAUCGUUAAGUACCUUGUGAAAUCCCACGGCUUAACCGUGGAACUGCUUGGUAUACUGGCGGUCUUGAGCCAGCUAGGGGCUACCGGAACAAAUGGUGGAGCGGUGAAAUGCGUAGAUAUCAUUUGGAACGCCAAUGGUGAAAACAGGUAGCUGGGGCUGUGCUGACGCUGAGACACGAAAGCCAGGGGAGCAAACGGG
rnacentral:rRNA from 1 species